UUCAGCACACAAUUCAGUGGCUUUUAGUACAUUCAGAAUGUUGGGCAACCAUCACACAGUGUAAUUCUAAAACCUUUUCAUCACACCAAGAGGAUUCCCCGUGCUUGUUAAAUAAUCACACUUUGUUUCCCAAUCCCUAGCUUCCAGCAACCUCUAAUCUUCUCUGUCUCUAUGGGUUUGCCCAUUCUGGAUAUGUCCUACAAGUGUAAUCAUAUUUGUGCCAGCUUUUUAAUGAACUGCUUUAUUUAAUCCUCCUAGCUGUACUAUGAAAUUGAUGUUAAUUACCCUCUUAACAGAUGAAUAAAAUGAGGCCAUAAGAAGGUAAUUUCCAUGAAGUCCCACAGAAGAAAACAAGUAAAAGUCUACCCAUCCAUCAGUCAGCCAUUUAUUCAAUGAAUACUUCCUAAAUGCCCACCACAGAGCCACAGCCAGCCCAUAGGCAAGCAUUGUAAAAUAGCAGAAGGCAACCUGCUAAAUGCUCCCACAGCAUGAAGAACAGAGAGCCAGCUGGAUAUUAGAACCUACCAGCCUGUCAGCCAGAAGCUUUGGUGCAGGGAACCACCUUUACAACCUUUUGUGGCAGCCCUGGCAGCCGUGUGGUCGGCUCUGUGCUAGCUACUGGGGAGAGUUCCUGCUGCCAUACAGCUUUCAUUCUGGUGGUGAAGAUAGACAAUACACAAGUAAAGACAUGAAUAUGAUCAUUUCAGAUAAUGGUUAGUGCUAUAAGGAAAGUAAAAUAGCUUCGAGUGAUGGAGUUGUGGAAGGGGCUCUUAUUUUAUAUUAGAUGGUCUGGAAAGGGAGGCUGACUGAAGGGGAGGCAUUUGAACUGAGAUCUGUAUAAGAGUGAGACAGCAGUCAUGCCUAUAUCUGGGGGAAGAACAUUCCAGAAAAAGGGAUCAGCCAGGACAAAGCAAAAGCAGGACUGGCUUGUUCAAGAAGCAAGUAGAAGGUGGGCUAAUGGAGUCCAUUAAGUCAGGGGAGAUGGAAGAAGCUGAGAUGCUGUGCCAGGUCCUUCCCUCUGUGAGAUGGGGAGCUGUUGAUGAUCAGAGUUGGGGACCUAGGGACUGACCUUCUUUGGCUUCUAUGUGAAGAAUGGAUGAGAGGAGGCCAAGGCAGAGGUAGGGAGGCCAGUUCGAGAGCCGUGGCUAUCACCCAGGAGAAGGGAAUGUGGCAUUAGGGUAGUUAGGUAGAAAUGGAGAAAAGUACUAGAUUCCGGAUAUAUUUUGAAGGUGAAGCCAACACAAUUUGCUGAUUGGAUAUGGGAGCUGAAAAAAAGAAAGGGAGCAAGGAUAGCUCCAAACCGUUGACGUGAGCAACUAGGAUGUAGUUAUGGGGAGACUCUGGAGGGAACAGAUUUGGGAGGGCAAUCUGGACCUCAGUUUUGGACAUGUGACUUGUGAGAUGCCCAUGAUUCAUCCAAGUAACAUGCUAAGUAGGCAGUAGAUAAACUAGCCUAAAGGCAGCAGAAGGUAGGGGCUAGAAAUAUAAAUUGGGGAACCAGUAAAAAAACAGACUUUUUUUUAAAGCUGGUCAUCUAGAUGAGACCCCAUAGAGAAGUGCAGAGAGAAAAGAGGGCUGAAGGCUGAGCCCUGGAGCCCUCAGGGGGCAGAGGUGAAGGAGCAGAGGAGAAGCAGGCAAAGGGACUGGGGAGUAGCCAGCAUGAUGGGAGAGAGGUGUCCUGGAGGUCAGAGAAGAAAGUAUUUCAAAGGCAAGAGCUUGAAUAGCUAUGUCAAAUUCUGAGGAUAGGUCCACUAAGAUGAAUGUGAACUGAAAAUUGACGUUGAACUUGGCCGUGUGGAGGCACUGGUGACCUUGACAAGCACAGUUUCACUGCUAAGUCACGGACAAAUGCCAACUGGAUCCACGCCUGGACAUGGGAGCAGAGGAGAUAGGGACAACUCCUUCAAGUAAUUUUCUAUAAAAGGAGCGGAGAAAUGGGACAGACAUGGGAGCAGGUGUAGAAGGAUUUUUUCAAGACUUUUUUCAGGGCUAGGAGCUUUUAGACCAUGUGUGUAUGCUGGUCAGAAUAAUCCAGGAGAGGAAGGAAAGUGAUGAUGCAGAAGGAAGAGAAAAGAGACAGUGAGGGGGUGGGACUCCUUCUAGAAUCAAGGGGUGUGGGAGUUGAGUAGCAGGUGAAGGGCUGGCCUUGGGCAGAAGCAGAGGAAGGCGGAAUGUCAGGAGACUCAAAGUGCUGCUAUUAGAAGAACCAGGAACAGAUGCUGAGCAGGCAAAAGAACCUGGUGUCCUGGUCCCCAGCCCACAGCUACCUCCUCCUCCAUCUCAACCAGCUCCUCUCUGUGACAGACACAGGGCUCUUAGCCUGAGGAUAGUUGCAUCCCCUUUAAGAAACUGAUGAAAGCCCAGACCGCUGUCAGCCUGCACACCAACCAGCUCCAUUAUGGCAACCUGCAGCUCCAGCAUCGUGAUUAGUGAUGAUGAACCAGGUUAUGACCUGGAUUUAUUUUGUAUACCUAAUCACUAUGCAGAGGAUUUGGAAAAGGUGUUUAUCCCUCAUGGACUAAUUAUGGAUAGAACUGAACGGCUUGCUCGAGAUGUGAUGCAGGCGAUGGGAGGCCAUCACAUCGUAGCCCUCUGUGUGCUGAAGGGGGGCUAUAAGUUCUUUGCAGACCUACUGGAUUACAUCAAAGUUCUGAACAGAAAUAGUGACAGGUCCAUUCCUAUGACUGUGGAUUUUAUCAGACUGAAGAGCUACUGUAAUGAUCAGUCAACAGGUGACAUAAAAGUGAUUGGUGGAGAUGAUCUCUCAACUUUGACUGGAAAGAAUGUCUUGAUUGUUGAAGAUAUCAUUGACACUGGCAAAACAAUGCAAGCCUUGCUUUCCCUGGUCAAGCGGUAUAAUCCAAAGAUGGUCAAGGUUGCCAGCUUGCUUGUGAAAAGGACCCCUCGAAGUGUUGGCUAUAGACCGGACUUUGUUGGAUUUGAAAUUCCAGACAAGUUUGUUGUGGGAUAUGCCCUUGACUACAAUGAACACUUCAGGGAUUUGAAUCAUGUUUGUGUCAUUAGUGAAACUGGAAAAGCAAAAUACAAAGCCUAAGGUGAGAGUUCAAGUUGAAUUUGGAAACAGCUAGUGUCCCAUUGAUAUCACCAGUAAAAUUAUCAAAUGUUCUAGCUCUGUGACCAGCUGCUUAGUAGAGUUUAUUAUUGCAUGUAUCUUCUAAGAAUUUUAUCUAUUUUGUAUUUUAGAAAUAUUAGUUACUGCAUUCCUGAACUCUUUAUUUGCACUAUGAGCCUGUAAACUAUCAUUUCCCUUUGGGUAAAUUGUUGUUUGACUCAUGAAUAAAAAAUCUCUUAAACUG